rnacentral:rRNA from 1 species
GAACGCUGGCGGCACGCCUAACACAUGCAAGUCGAACGGCAGCACGGAGAGUAGUAAUACUCUUAGGUGGCGAGUGGCGGACGGGUGAGUAAUACGUAGGAAUCUACCCAAGAGAUGAGGAUAACGUGGGGAAACUCACGCUAAUACUGAAUACGCCCUACGGGGUAAAGGUUGCGCAAGCAGCCGCUUUUGGAUGAGCCUACGUUUGAUUAGCUAGUUGGUGGGGUAAAGGCCUACCAAGGCGACGAUCAAUAGCUGUUCUGAGAGGAAGAUCAGCCACACUGGGACUGAGACACGGCCCAGACUCCUACGGGAGGCAGCAGUGGGGAAUCUUGGACAAUGGGGGCAACCCUGAUCCAGCGAUGCCGCGUGUGUGAAGAAGGC